UACAGAGGUCCCAAGCGUUGUUCGGAUUCAUUGGGCGUAAAGGGUGCGUAGGCGGCGCGGUAAGUCGGGUGUGAAAUCUCGGAGCUUAACUCCGAAACUGCAUUCGAUACUGCCGUGCUUGAGGACUGGAGAGGAGACUGGAAUUUACGGUGUAGCGGUGAAAUGCGUAGAUAUCGUAAGGAAGACCGAGUGGACGAAGGCGGGUCGCUGGAGCAGUUCCUGACGCUGGAGGCACGA
rnacentral:rRNA from 1 species